rnacentral:rRNA from 1 species
GGAGCUAACGCGUUAAGUGGACCGCCUGGGGAGUACGGCCGCAAGGUUAAAACUCAAAUGAAUUGACGGGGCCCGCACAAGCGGUGGAGCAUGUGGUUUAAUUCGAUGCAACGCGAAGAACCUUACUUACUCUUGACAUCCAGAGAACUUUCCAGAGAUGGAUUGGUGCCUUCGGGAACUCUGAGACAGGUGCUGCAUGGCUGUCGUCAGCUCGUGUUGUGAAAUGUUGGGUUAAGUCCCGCAACGAGCGCAACCCUUAUCCUUUGUUGCCAGCGGUUAGGCCGGGAACUCAAAGGAGACUGCCAGUGAUAAACUGGAGGAAGGUGGGGAUGACGUCAAGUCAUCAUGGCCCUUACGAGUAGGGCUACACACGUGCUACAAUGGCGCAUACAAAGAGAAGCGACCUCGCGAGAGCAAGCGGACCUCAUAAAGUGCGUCGUAGUCCGGAUUGGAGUCUGCAACUCGACUCCAUGAAGUCGGAAUCGCUAGUAAUCGUAGAUCAGAAUGCUACGGUGAAUACGUUCCCGG